UUGAAGGUGACAAGGGUGUAAAGCUAAUGCAGCUUGCUAGAUUAUCUCCUGUGGAUAUGAAGGUUAUAAGCAACAUGCAGUUGAUAGCUGGAUCUCCAGAAAACAAGGCUAAAUCCGGUAGUUUCUCCCUCAAGUUUGACGCUGGAAAG